GAAAUGCGAUAAGUAAUGCGAAUUGCAGAAUUUCCGUGAGUCAUCGAAUCUUUGAACGCACAUUGCGCCCAUUGGUAUUCCAUGGGGCAUGCCUGUUCGAGCGUCAUUUGUACCCUCAAGCUCUGCUUGGUGUUGGGUGUUUGUCCCGUCUCCGCGCGUGGACUCGCCCCAAAGUGAUUGGCAGCCGGCGUACUGGUCCCGGAGCGCAGCACAUGUCGCGCAAACGAGUGCCUUGGUACGGCGGCGUCCAUAAGCCCCUCUCUCACGCUCUUGACCUCGGAUCAGGUAGGGAUACCCGCUGAACUUAAGC
rnacentral:misc_RNA from 1 species